rnacentral:lncRNA from 1 species
CAGAAGCAGACACUCCCAGAAGAAAUACAAUGUGAAGACACACAGGGAGAAGAUGGCCUUGUGACCAGGGAGAUGCAUCUACAGACCAACAAAUGCCAAGGAUUGCCAGAGAACAGAAAAAGCUGGAAGAAUCAAGGAAGGAUUCUCCCCUGGAGCCAUCAGAGAGAGCAUGCCCUGAUAUCACCUUGAUUCUUCACUUCUACCUUUCAGAAUUAAGGAAGCCAGCUGCCAUGCUUUGAGCUGCUCUAUGGAAAGGCACAUUUGGCAAGGAACUGAUGCCUCCAGUCAACAGCCAGCCAGGACUUGAGACCAGAUAAAGCCUGGAAGCUGCACGUCACCUGCCAGCUUUGUGUGUGCCCAGUGAGUGCAGGUGGCAUAAUGACCAGCGGUGACUUGAAUGACAAGGGGACAGAACAGCUGGACAAUCCAAUUCCUAGAUGCUUUCUCCAGUUAUGGCCCUGACUGGGAUCUCCGAAGAAUGACUCAGCUGAAACUGUCAGUGAGGAUGCUUACCUGUGGUCUCCCCAUCAUGGUGGUAUCAGGGUUGUUGAACACCUUACAUGGCUCCAAAAGCAAGUGUUCUGGAAUGUAAGGCAACAGCUGUGUGGUCUUUCAUAAUCCAGCAUCAGAAGUCACAUGGCAUCACUCCUGCUAAAAUUUCUUUGUGGAAGCAGCCACAAAACUGCCCAAAUUCAAGUAGAGGGCACACAGAUCUUAUUUUUUGAUGGGAGGACUCACAAAAAUUUUGCCACCAUAUUAUAAAAACACUAUAAGAUCUAAUAGUAACUUUAACUUUUUUUAACCAAUCCUUCUAUUUUCAGCCCAGACUUCACUUCCUUAUUCAGAUGUAUAAAUGUCUUCUGUGGCUUUGUGAUCAAAUCUGAAUGUUUCUUGGAUUUACCCCUG